UCCGAUAUGGUGUAAUGGCUAACAUUGUCGCCUUUCAACUGCCCGCGACGGCUCGGGGUUCGAUCCCCCGUAUCGGAG